rnacentral:ncRNA from 1 species
CGCGGGACGACCCGCGCCGACGUUUCGAACGGGGACGGCCCCA